GUUCCGCUGAUGAGUCCUAAAUAAGACGAAACGCGCGUCCGGGAU
rnacentral:hammerhead_ribozyme from 1 species